rnacentral:rRNA from 1 species
GAGACAGCAGUCGCCGCGGUAAUACGUAGGUGGCAAGCGUUGUCCGGAAUUAUUGGGCGUAAAGGGCUCGCAGGCGGUUUCUUAAGUCUGAUGCGAAAGCCCCCGGCUCAACCGGGGAGGGUCAUUGGAAACAGGGAAACUUGAGUGCAGAAGAGGAGAGUGGAAUUCCACGUGUAGCGGUGGAAUGCGUAGAGAUGUGGAGGAACACCAGUGGCGAAGGCGACUCUCUGGUCUGUAACUGACGCUGAGGAGCGAAAGCGUGGGGAGCGAACAGGAUUAGAUACCCCAGUAGUCCCUGUCUCUUAUAA